GUCGUCUGCUUAAAGAAAAGGGCCAUGUGAUUGAUUCACUUUUUUCUUUUCUUUAUCCCAAUAAUUUUAUUGACAAGUGGAGUAGAGCAUUAUUAAUUCGCAUAAACAUUUCUCUUUCAUUUUCUUUCUAUUUCCUCAUCUUAUAAUUACCACACAAUUUGUGUUUUCAGAUCAACAUCCAUGGCAUCUUCUUCUUCUUUUGCGAGUGAUUCACAAUACUGUACUCGAUGGAAGUUCGAUGUCUUUCUAAGUUUUAGAGGUACCGACACACGGAGAACAUUUACGGGUCACUUGUACGAAGGUUUGAAAAACAGGGGAAUAUUCACCUUUCAAGAUGAUAAAAGGCUAGAGCAAGGCGAUUCCAUCCCAGAAGAACUCUUGAAAGCUAUAGAAGAGUCUCAAGUUGCACUCAUCAUUUUCUCAAAGAAUUAUGCUACAUCGAGGUGGUGCUUGAAUGAACUAGUGAAGAUCAUGAAAUGCAAGGAGGAAGGACAAACAAUCAUACCGAUCUUCUAUGAUGUGGAUCCAUCACAUGUUCGAAAUCAGAGUGAGAGCUUUGCAGAAGCAUUUGCCAAACAUGAAUCGACGUAUAAGGAUGAUGUUGAUGGGAUGCAGAAGGUGCAAGGAUGGAGAACUUCUCUAACAGCUGCCGCAAAUCUAAAAGGAUAUGAUAUUCGUGACGGGUGAUGUACAUAUCAGUAAUCAGCAGCGACACUGCCUAUGAAGGGAACAUGUACGUGCAAUUUGGAUGGAUGAAAGAAGCUUUCGAAUCCAAUAAUUUCUCCCCAACCAUCAAGUUCUACUGAAGUCGCAUAGUCUCCAUUGAUAUCUACUGUAAAAUGUUACAUUCUUAUUCUAUUUUAAUAAGUGCAAGAAACACAUUUGAUUAAUCAUCUCUGAAAUUAAUGUAAUCUAAUUAGCAAAGAAACACUGCUAUAUAAUUGAACCCCUUCCUAUUCUCA